rnacentral:rRNA from 1 species
AGGACGAACGCUGGCGGCGUGCUUAAUACAUGCAAGUCGAACGAGGUCCAUUUGGUGGCAACACCAAAGAAGACCUAGUGGCGAACGGGUGCGUAACACGUGAGCAACCUGCCCCGAAGACUGGGAUAACAGCGGGAAACUGCUGCUAAUACCAGAUGCCCCCACGGAUUCGCAUGGAUCUGUGAGGAAAGGAUUCUGCUUCGGGAGGGGCUCGCGGCCUAUCAGCUUGUUGGUGAGGUAACGGCCCACCAAGGCGACGACGGGUAGCUGGUCUGAGAGGACGAUCAGCCACACUGGGACUGAGACACGGCCCAGACUCCUACGGGAGGCAGCAGUAGGGAAUCUUGCGCAAUGGGCGAAAGCCUGACGCAGCAACGCCGCGUGGGGAUGAAGGCCUUCGGGUUGUAAACUCCUUCAGUGGGAACGAAACUGACGGUACCACGAGAAGAAGCCCGGCUAACUACGCGCCAGCAGCCGCGGU